GCAAGUGUACAUAUUUUUGUGCUCAAAGGAGAGAUAAAAUUGUACAACCUGAUCUUUAAUUGGGAUGAGAUUAAAAUAAUGAUGGAAUUCUGAGAAAGACUCAUUGACCUUCAGACAAACACUUUAUCUCCACGUCAUCGUGGUAGAACCUGCUGCCAUCCAGUGAAGUUGAAUGGUGGAGGAUUCAGGAUACAUAGUAUUUAUCUAUACAGUAAAGCACAGUAAAAUGACAGAAUGCACCAUGACAGGAUGUGGCGGCAGACAUCAGUUCAGAUGGGUGUGAACAGAGACUGGAGAAACCGGCACAACAGUGCUGUCAGUGGUUACUAACCAUGGUGGUUAUACACUGCUACCCUUCACAACAACCCUAAGAGGUAGAUACAGUUUUUGGAUGAAGGUCAAUGAAUACAUUUCGAGGGUGAAAGAAGAAAGUUUUAAACCUGCCCUCCCCCCUUGUCCAGCAUGCUAAUAUAUGCAAAUAUUACACAACCCAGCAUGUGUGUGUGUUUCAAUUCAUGCUUAAUCUGCUGUGUGCAAACUCACAAAAACUCCACAGAAGUGGAACUUGUACUCCAGCAUUCCUCUUGGGACUGUGUCAGAUUAGCAGUCAAGGAAUUUAAGAAGGCACCAUGGAAACGAGAAGCAGAUGGGAUGCCUCUCAAAAGAACACUGCAGUGUUUUCAAUCUGCAGCGCAAGAGUCCUUGAUGCUAUUCUCUAGCGCUCUGGGAAGCAGACCUUGGCCAAGCUGUAGCUCUUGGCUCUGCGUUGAACUAACGGGAUCUGCCAAUCACAGAGCAGCUGGAGGCUUUCUCAUGUCAGCUCCGGUUUAUGCACAACAGCUGCAGUGUAUACGAGAGCCAUCUCUACAACCAAGUACACACCACACUAGAAACAGUAAACUCCCACAGUUACUGCUUCUUCAAGAUAGUCUAAACUCAUGGCCAAAUCAUGUGACACAGCUGUUUUGCGACUAUGCUACUUAAGAAUGAGAACUGUAUUAGAAUGUGCCCUCCUCCAACUAGAUCUAUGUCUGGAACUAGGUGACUCCAUAAGAACCUGGGUAAGCUUUUUCUUUCUUUCUUUCUUUCUUUCUUUCUUUCUUUCUUUCUUUCUUUCUUUCUUUCUUUCUUUCUUUCUGUCUUUCUGUCUUUCUGUCUUUCUUUUCUUUUCUUUUUUGGUGACAUGAUGUUUUUCAAAGGAUUCACACUCACAC
rnacentral:lncRNA from 1 species